AGUCGAACGAGAACGGCUCUAGCUUGCUAGAGUGUCAGCUAAGUGGCGGACGGGUGAGUAAUAUAUAGCUAACCUGCCCAUAAGUAAGGGAUAACAUUUAGAAAUGAGUGCUAAUACCUUAUAAUCCUUAAUGAUAUUAAGUUGUUAAGGCAAAGAAUUUCGCUUAUGGAUGGGGCUAUAUUGUAUCAGCUUGUUGUUAGGGUAACGGCCUAACAAGGCUAUGACACAUAGUUGGUCUAAGAGGAUGACCAGCCACACUGGAACUGAGACACGGUCCAGACUCCUACGGGAGGCAGCAGUGGGGAAUAUUGCACAAUGGGCGAAAGCCUGAUGCAGCAAUACCGCGUGGAGGAUGAAUCAUUUAGGUGUGUAAACUCCUUUUAUAUAGGAAGAUAAUGACGGUACUAUAUGAAUAAGCACCGGCUAACUCCGUGCCAGCAGCCGCGGUAAUACGGAGGGUGCAAGCGUUACUCGGAAUCACUGGGCGUAAAGGACACGUAGGCGGGUUGGAAAGUCAGAUGUGAAAUCCUACAGCUUAACUGUAGAACUGCAUUUGAAACUUCCAACCUAGAGUAUGGGAGGGGGAGAUGGAAUUAGUGGUGUAGGGGUAAAAUCCGUAGAUAUCACUAGGAAUACCUAAAGCGAAGGCGAUCUCCUGGAACAUUACUGACGCUAAGGUGUGAAAGCGUGGGGAGCAAACGGGAUUAGAUACCCCGGUAGUCCACGCCCUAAACGAUGAACACUAGUCGUCGGGAUGCUUGUCAUCUCGGUGAUGCACUUAACAGAUUAAGUGUUCCGCCUGGGGAGUACGGUCGCAAGAUUAAAACUCAAAGGAAUAGACGGGGACCCGCACAAGUGGUGGAGCAUGUGGUUUAAUUCGAAAAUACGCGAAGAACCUUACCUAGCCUUGACAUUGAUUGAACGGACCAGAGAUGGACCGGUGCCCUUCGGGGAACAUGAAAACAGGUGCUGCACGGCUGUCGUCAGCUCGUGUCGUGAGAUGUUGGGUUAAGUCCCGCAACGAGCGCAACCCUCGCUAUUAGUUAAUAACGAUUCGGUCGAUGACUCUAUUAGGACUGCCUUCGCAAGAAGGAGGAAGGUGAGGACGACGUCAAGUCAUCAUGGCCCUUACGGCUAGGGCAACACACGUGCUACAAUGGGCAGGACAAUGAGAAGCAAUACCGCGAGGUGGAGCAAAUCUAUAAACCUGUUCUCAGUUCGGAUUGUAGUCUGCAACUCGACUACAUGAAGCUGGAAUCACUAGUAAUCGUAGAUCAGCUAUGCUACGGUGAAUACGUUCCCGGGUCUUGUACUCACCCCCAGUCAAACCAUGGGAGUUGAUUCCACCCGAAGCGGGGAAGCUAAAC
rnacentral:rRNA from 1 species